UGGUGACCAUAAAACGGUGGUCCGACCCGAUCCCAUCCCGAACUCGGCCGUCAAACACCGCUUUGCCGAUGGUAGUGCUUGUAUAGCUUGCGCGAGAGUAGGUUGUCGCCA
rnacentral:rRNA from 1 species